GCAUCGACAGGAUAAAUCACACAAACUUUUGCAUUAUAAAGAAUAGGAGGAGGACUUUAUGACGGAAGCCACAGCUCUAUUGGAGGACGGUCCGUCUAACGAGCUCAACUCUAGAACUGAACAGCAAGGAUCAUGUCAACUAACAGUUCAAAUCUGAAAGGCAAAUUCAAGAGGAUGUGUCCACAGUGCAUGACUGCCGUUCAUGUUCGAAUUCAUGUCUGUGCUUGUGGACACAGCUUUCUUAAGGAAAAACUGGAAGUUGACAAGAAAAAGGAGGCCCAUCAGCUGGUGAUGGGGAAGAAAGCUGCCAAGAACAACACGCUCACCCGGUCAUUUGCUACUCUUCAGAAACAUAGUAACAGACUGAGAGGAGGGGGUUACCGUGUUGCAGUCCUCUACUAUAAAGAAGGCAACCAAAGAUCAAAAAGGGGUAUUCUUCCAGGAAGCAGUCUUACAGAAAAGCAAGGCAGUGCACUGGCUAAAAUAUUUUGUAGUAUGUCACGCUCUGUCCCGGGAAGAAAGAAGUCUUCAUUGGAAAAUGUCUCGGCUAUGGACUUUGAAUGGAAGCCUGCCACUACUCGAAAAUCCCCGAAAACUAGGAGAGUUGGACGAUCUGUGAGAGGUGACGUAUGCGAUGACUCAGACAGCUGCUUAGACGAUUCAUUGAUAGAGGUGAAAAAAGAGGCAAUAAAAGUUGAAUGUUGGGGAGAUAAUGAUGAUGGCUACUAUGAUAUGUGUGUUGGAGAUGACAGGGAUGAUAGCAAAGAUUCGCUCCACAUUAAUGAGAACUCGGCAGGCACGACACAGUAAACAAUAACAAUUGUAACCAGGGCCUGUUGAUGGGAAGGAAACAGCCAUCUCAACUUACAACCAUUGAAAAAUUUAGAUUGCAGUUAUGCAUGCUGAAGGACCUGCCUAUAUUUUGAUCCUGCUCCUGUGGAUGUUAGGGUCCUUGCACUUUAGCUGAAGGGACUCACCAGUCAUCAGAUGUCUCAAGCUGAUGCUUGAUAAAUGUAUCCUGACUAGAAGGUUGUGCUGGUGGAAGCGAUUAUCUCUUUGAUGAUGAUUUAUCUAUUAAGUGAGCAGAAAUGUUCUGCAGAAGGAAGCAAUGAUAACAGUGAACCAGUUAUCAUUGGUUCAAUGGUGACUGGUUCACUGUUAUCAUUGAACCAAUGCUCAGCACCUUCAUGUUUAUACUGUCAUGCUAACUGCUACCAUCAAUAGUUUGUGGUGGGUUGUUUCUUCCCUCACCCCCCCAAAAAAAUUAUUAUUUUGGUGAAUCAAUCUUUGGAUGUUGAAAUAAUCAAAGGAAUAGAUAAAUGUACCAAACUGGACAUGUUUCAUCUCUGGGUCUCAUAGUAAAGUUAUAGUAACAUGUUAGUCAUCUCACAACACACAUUUUCCUGUCAUUAAAAGCAAAGAAGUAGAAUGAUAGUAUAAGACAUGUGUAAGUUUUCCCCACAUUUCCUGGUUAAAUGUCACAUAACUAUUUAUUUAUGUCAAAUGUCAUAAUGUCACAAAAAAGAAAUGUCACAUAACUAUUUAUUUACAAAUCCACUCUGAAAUUAGUUUUUUCAAUGUUAAAAAUAAAUUUAAUUGAAAUCUUUUAACCAUACUAAAAUGUGAGUCAAUAGUAUUUCUUACACUACUACUGCUACAGUAGUUUCUCCCUUCCUGUGAGAAUUGAGUUACCUCCUGAACCCAGGAAUUGCUUGAAAAUGAUCUUGUAUAAUAGCAAAGUUGCAUUUAUUAAAAUAAUGAAGUGGAUUGUGUAGAGGCAAGGCUACUGAUAAAUAUCAAUAAUAGUCUAAUUACUGUGUAAGAUAUCUUGUCAAGCAAGAUGUUGGUGCAUAAAAUCUUUACUGUGCAAGAUAUGACAUGCUGAAUGUUUAUGGUGCAUAAAUUCAUUACUGUGUAAGAUUCCUCUGUUGCCAAGUGAUGAUUGUGUUGAAUUAGUCUCUGGCAAACAUUUAGUUCAAACUGUUAGAUUUUAUUUAAACAACAUAAGAACUUUAUUUUUUGCCGAUUGAUUUUUGUAUGGUAUAACCUGUUUUGUUAUUUGUUAAAUAUAUGAAGUAUCAUAUUCAA